rnacentral:rRNA from 1 species
UACGUAGGGGGCAAGCGUUGUCCGGAAUCAUUGGGCGUAAAGCGCGCGUAGGCGGCCCUGUAAGUCCGUUGUGAAAGUCAAAGGCUCAACCUUUGAAAGCCGAUGGAUACUGCAGGGCUAGAGUCCGGAAGAGGCGAGUGGAAUUCCUGGUGUAGCGGUGGAAUGCGCAGAUAUCAGGAGGAACACCGGUGGCGAAGGCGGGUCUCUGGGCAGUAACUGACGCUGAGGAGCGAAAGCGUGGGGAGCGAACAGG